AGUAACGGCGAGUGAAGCGGCAACAGCUCAAAUUUGAAAUCUGGCGCAAGCCCGAGUUGUAAUUUGUAGAGGAUGCUUCUGGGUAGCGACCGGUCUAAGUUCCUUGGAACAGGACGUCAUAGAGGGUGAGAAUCCCGUAUGUGACCGGCCCGCACCCUUUACGUAGCUCCUUCGACGAGUCGAGUUGUUUGGGAAUGCAGCUCUAAAUGGGAGGUAAAUUUCUUCUAAAGCUAAAUACCGGCCAGAGACCGAUAGCGCACAAGUAGAGUGAUCGAAAGAUGAAAAGUACUUUGGAAAGAGAGUUNAAAAAGCACGUGAAAUUGUUGAAAGGGAAGCGCCUGCAAUCAGACUUCGCGGCAGUGUUCCGCCGGUCUUCUGACCGGUUUAUUCUCUGUCACGAGGCCAUCAUCGUCUCGGCCCGCUGGAUAAGACCUUGGGAAUGUAGCUCACCUUCGGGGGAGUGUUAUAGCUCAUGGUGAUGCAGCGAGGCUGGGGCGAGGUCCGCGCUUCGGCAAGGAUGAUGGCGUAAUGGUUGUCGGCGGCCCGUCUUGAAACACGGACCAAGGAGUCUAACAUCUAUGCGAGUGUUCGGGUGUCAAACCCCUACGCGUAAUGAAAGUGAACGGAGGUGGGAACCGCAAGGUGCACCAUCGACCGAUCCUGAUGUCCUCGGAUGGAUUUGAGUAAGAGCAUAGCUGUUGGGACCCGAAAGAUGGUGAACUAUGCCUGAAUAGGGUGAAGCCAGAGGAAACUC
rnacentral:rRNA from 1 species